UGUCGUCAGCUCGUGUCGUGAGAUGUUGGGUUAAGUCCCGCAACGAGCGCAACCCUUAAGCUUAGUUGCCAGCAUUAAGUUGGGCACUCUAAGUUGACUGCCGGUGACAAACCGGAGGAAGGUGGGGAUGACGUCAAAUCAUCAUGCCCCUUAUGAUUUGGGCUACACACGUGCUACAAUGGACAAUACAAAGGGCAGCUAAACCGCGAGGUCAUGCAAAUCCCAUAAAGUUGUUCUCAGUUCGGAUUGUAGUCUGCAACUCGACUACAUGAAGCUGGAAUCGCUAGUAAUCGUAGAUCAGCAUGCUACGGUGAAUACGUUCCCGGGUCUUGUACACACCGCCCGUCACACCACGAGAGUCUGUAACACCCGAAGCCGGUGGAGUAACCAUUUAUGGAGCUAGCCGUCGAAGGUGGGACAAAUGAUUGGGGUGAAGUCGUAACAAGGUAGCCGUAUCGGAAGGUGCGGCUGGAUCACCUC
rnacentral:rRNA from 1 species